CAAUGCUGCACUGCCAUCUGCUGGACAAACCUACGCGGCGCCUUUCUGUAAUGUUAUGAAGGUUGUCGUGUGUCAGGCAGUGAAACAGGCGAUCAUCGCUCCAUUCAAAUUGUUAUUGAGCUGUAAGAACAAUUACACACCCGUAAGAAGAGGACUGAGGCCAGCGUGGCUUUGUAUGUACAUUGUUUAGAGAGUGGUUGUAAUGUUAUGUUUACAGUAGGCUGCUGAAUCGAUAUUUGCCCAUAUAAUAAUAAUAGUAAUAAUAAUAAUAAUGUGCAAGAAAGAGAUGACCGCUCCAGGAAGGAGAAAAAAGGAGGGGCAGUGCCCAGAGGAACCGAGCUCCGAAAAACUGAAGGUGAAUAAAACGACAAGGGCACCCGGGAAAGCAGUUACAAGACCUAGCUACCAAACCACUCCAGGAUGCAGAGUCCUCCCAAACAGCCAAACAGAGAAGCAUUAUUCAUUACAUUAACAGGAAUGCACUGGGUCAAAGCAUUCCUACACCUUGCGACAGUGUCUCCAGCAGCUGCUUGUGCAUGCCCUGGCUUCCUACAAGCUCUUCCCGACAGCCAGCCCCUUCGACCGCAGAGUGACAAGCCUGGAGUGGCACCCAAUGCACCCCAGCACAGUUAAACAAGACCUGCUUCAUACAUGGGGUGAGCAAAACAGCAGGGAUGAAGCAAAGUGUACAACUUUUUAUCAAGUGCCUUUUGCAGCCAUCUGCAUAUUCUUUUUUCUUUUUUUUUUUUUUUUAAAUCGAUUCUCGGAGUUGUGCCGUUUGCCGCUAAUUGAUAACUGACUUUUUAAAACAGGAGAUAUCAUUCGUUGCAAAUGCAUUUAUUUAAAUUCUUUAAAUUACAAUUAACAAGCAUGAAGUUAAAUCAAAAACCCAAACCAUAUACCUGUCAAAAUAAAAUAAAAUAAAAUAUAAUAAUAAUUAAACUCUGUUUCCCCUUGCAAAAUGUGGCAAAACUUUUUUUUGUGCAACCCAUUUGUGUGUGUAUGGCACUGAACUACCAAGAGCAAACUGAAAUCUGUCA